rnacentral:lncRNA from 1 species
GGCGAGAUGUCAUCAAUAUACACUAAAUUUCGAGCGUGUGCAACAUAUAGGGGUAGAAAUCACUACACAUGCUUUCUACUGUUGACUUCAAUCUGAAGCUCACAUAUGUGUUAGAUGGCUAGGAAGGAUCAUCCAAUGUUGUAACAUUUUUUCUGACAACAUGGUUCGACGUGAUAUUAAUAUCCCCAAUGGAAAGUUCUACCUAGGGGAUGCUGGCU